rnacentral:misc_RNA from 1 species
UCACGCCUUACGGCGGCAGUUUCACUAGAGUUCCCAGCAUUACCUGAUGGCAACUAGUGAUAGGGGUUGCGCUCGUUGCGGGACUUAACCCAACACCUCACGGCACGAGCUGACGACAGCCGUGCAGCACCUGCACAGGCUCCCUUGCGGGUCCCUUGGCUUUCGCCUCAGUACCACCUGCAUGUCAAGUCCGGGUAAGGUUCUUCGCGUUGCAUCGAAUUAAUCCGCAUGCUCCGCCGCUUGUGCGGGCCCCCGUCGAUUCCUUUGAGUUUUAGCCUUGCGGCCGUACUCCCCAGGCGGGGCGCUUAAUGCGUUAGCUGCGGCACAGAGAACGUGGAAUGUUCCCCACACCUAGUGCCCACCGUUUACGGCGUGGACUAC